GGUCGGUUAGCUCAGUUGGUUAGAGCGUGGUGCUAAUACAAAUUGGUACGCCAAGGUCGUGGGUUCGACCCCCAUACUGACCA